CCUACGGGAGGCUGCAGUGGGGAAUAUUGGACAAUGGGCGAAAGCCUGAUCCAGCCAUGCCGCGUGUGUGAAGAAGGCCUUCGGGUUGUAAAGCACUUUCAGUGGGGAAGAAAGCCUUGGGGCUAAUACCCUCGAGGAAGGACAUCACCCACAGAAGAAGCACCGGCUAACUCCGUGCCAGCAGCCGCGGUAAUACGGAGGGUGCGAGCGUUAAUCGGAAUUACUGGGCGUAAAGCGCGCGUAGGCGGUCUGAUAAGCCGGUUGUGAAAGCCCCGGGCUCAACCUGGGAACGGCAUCCGGAACUGGCAGGCUAGAGUGCAGGAGAGGAAGGUAGAAUUCCCGGUGUAGCGGUGAAAUGCGUAGAGAUCGGGAGGAAUACCAGUGGCGAAGGCAGCCUUCUGGACUGACACUGACGCUGAGGUGCGAAAGCGUGGGUAGCAAACAGGAUUAGAUACCCUAGUAGUC
rnacentral:rRNA from 1 species